rnacentral:tRNA from 1 species
GCCAGCGUAGCUCAGUUGGUAGAGCAGCUGUUUCGUAAACAGCAGGUCUCGAGUUCGAGUCUCGACGCUGGCUCCA